UAAUAUUUCUUACUACAGCUUUAAGCUUCACUAUCAUCUAACUUUGUCUAGUUAAUUUUUGUUAUCUGUCUUUGAACCUAUAAAAUGGGUGAUAUGUACACUUGUCUUUAACUACAUGUGUUUCCUGAACAUGUCUAAAGUUUUUAUAAGAAAUACAGUUCUGAGCUCGGGCAAUCGUAGGAUGACUAGACACAUACUACAUAUGAUUUGAGAUGUAUAUGUAUACAGUUUCACCCUUUGCUAAAAAAUGUCCUAUGCAAUGUAGACUUUGUGAAGCCACAUGAGCUAGGGGUUGCACCGCAGGAGCAUAGCGUAUACAUGUAUUGAACAUUGAAGAUUGCAUUGCAGCUCAUCAGUAGAAGAUAGCGACAGAGUGCUGCAGGAUAAUGAGAUGUUGAAGCGGCAGCCUGAAUCCAUGACACCGAAGUGCAAUUGUGGCAGAUUAUCUCUAUCUUUUCUUUUCAUUUUUCUUAUUAUUGAGUGAGAACAGAAUGAGGAACUUUGUGAUAGUACAUACAAAAACUGUAGUAAAAAGAAACUUAUGUUUGCAAUUGUUAAUGACAUAGAUACUUGCAUGUUCUUUGAAGUGGUCAUUUGUGAGUAGCAAUGCAUAAUGAGGUUUUUUGGCUGA